rnacentral:rRNA from 1 species
GAUGAACGCUGGCGGCGUGCCUAAUACAUGCAAGUCGAGCGAACAGACGAGGAGCUUGCUCCUCUGACGUUAGCGGCGGACGGGUGAGUAACACGUGGAUAACCUACCUAUAAGACUGGGAUAACUUCGGGAAACCGGAGCUAAUACCGGAUAAUAUAUUGAACCGCAUGGUUCAAUAGUGAAAGACGGUUUUGCUGUCACUUAUAGAUGGAUCCGCGCCGCAUUAGCUAGUUGGUAAGGUAACGGCUUACCAAGGCAACGAUGCGUAGCCGACCUGAGAGGGUGAUCGGCCACACUGGAACUGAGACACGGUCCAGACUCCUACGGGAGGCAGCAGUAGGGAAUCUUCCGCAAUGGGCGAAAGCCUGACGGAGCAACGCCGCGUGAGUGAUGAAGGUCUUCGGAUCGUAAAACGCUGUUAUUAGGAAAGAACAAAUGUGUAAGUAACUAUGCACGUCUUGACGGUACCUAAGCAGAAAGCCACGGCUAACUACGU